rnacentral:snRNA from 1 species
AUCACUUCUUGGCCUUUUGGCUAAGAUCAAAUGUAGUAUCUGUUCUUAUCAGUUUAAUAUCUGAUACGUCCUCUAUCCAAGGACAAUAUAUUAAAUGGAUUUUUGGAGCAGGGAGAUGGAAUAGUAGCUUGCUCCAUCCACUCCACGCAUCGACCUGGUAUUGCAGUACUUCCAGUAACGGUGCACACACA